rnacentral:rRNA from 1 species
AUUGAACGCUGGCGGCAGGCCUAACACAUGCAAGUCGAGCGAGCGGCGGACGGGUGAGUAAUGUGUGGGAAACUGCCUGAUGGAGGGGGAUAACUACUGGAAACGGUAGCUAAUACCGCAUACCAUCAGAUGUGCCCAGUUGGGAUUAGCUAGUAGGUGGGGUAACGGCUCACCUAGGCGACGAUUCCUAGCUGGUCUGAGAGGAUGACCAGCCACCCGGGAACUGAGACACGCUCCAUACUCCUACGGGAGGUAGCAGUGUGGAACAUUGCACAAUGGGCGCAAGCCUGACGCAGCCAUGCCGCGUGUGUGAAGAAGGCCUUCGGGUUGUAAAGCACUUUCAGCGGUGAGGCGUUACCUGCAGAAGAAGCACCGGCUAACUCCGUGCCAGCAGCCGCGGUAAUUC